UGAUAUCAUCACCCAGCAUCGC
rnacentral:miRNA from 1 species